rnacentral:rRNA from 1 species
UACCUGCAGCCCGAGUGGUGAUCGAUUUUAUUGAGCCUAAAGCGUCCGUAGCCGGACCAGUAAACCCUUGGGUAAAUUGGGCAGCUUAACUGUCCAACUUCCGAGGGGACUGCUGGUCUUGGGACCGGGAGAGGUCAGAGGUACUCCAGGGGUAGGGGCUAAAUCCUGUAAUCCUUGGGGGACCACCAGUGGCGAAGGCGUCUGACUAGAACGGAUCCGACGGUAAGGGACGAAACCCUGGGGCGCGAACCGGAUUAGAUACCCGGGUAGUCCAGGGCGUAAACGCUGCAGGCUUGGUGUUGGGGACCCUACGAGGGUGCCCAGUGCCGGAGUGAAGAUGUUAAGCCUGCCGCUUGGGGAGUACGUCCGCAAGGAUGAAACUUAAAGGAAUUGGCGGGAGAGCACAGCAACGGGAGGAGCGUGCGGUUC